rnacentral:rRNA from 1 species
UACAUGCAGUCGAACGGCAGCACAGCAGAGCUUGCUCUGUGGGUGGCGAGUGGCGGACGGGUGAGGAAUACAUGGGAAUCUGCCCAGUCGUGGGGGAUAACGUAUGGAAACGUACGCUAAUACCGCAUGCGCCCUUCGGGGGAAAGCCGGGGACCUUCGGGCCUGGCGCGAUUGGAUGAGCCCAUGUCGGAUUAGCUAGUUGGCGGGGUAAAGGCCCACCAAGGCGACGAUCCGUAGCUGGUCUGAGAGGAUGAUCAGCCACACUGGAACUGAGACACGGUCCAGACUCCUACGGGAGGCAGCAGUAGGGAAUAUUGGACAAUGGGCGCAAGCCUGAUCCAGCCAUGCCGCGUGUGUGAAGAAGGCCUUCGGGUUGUAAAGCACUUUUGUCCGGAAAGAAAAGCACUGGGUGAAUACCCUGGUGUCCUGACGGUACCGGAAGAAUAAGCACCGGCUAACUUCGUGCCAGCA